UCCUCACAAAGGCCCCGUUUUCCCUGAUGCCAGAAUGAGAUGGAACUAGCCUCCAAUUUGCUCCAUUUCUGUGUGAGAGCGAUCUUGUCGAGGCCUUUAGAUCCUCGCGGGACUUUUUCUAUCUUUUCACGUGAAGACCGUCAACCAGUAAAGUUGCUAGACCGACCUCUGUGGCACUAAGUUAGUUUAAAGUGUCAUUAGCCAAGGAUUGACUAGGGCAAACCCGGUAGAAAAGCCUACCGAAGCUUAAAACCUGUUACAAAACCGCCCAUUAGUUAAUCUCCGGCAUCUCCUCUGACCUUCGCGGGUGUGUUCUUUGCGACUUUCCGAAGGUGAAUUUGCCCACCUCCCAGCGUGGGUGCGAGUUGGGGCACGACCGAUUGCCAGCUGAACAUCACGAUUGGCCCGUUCGCGGACGAGCAUUGCCGGUGAGGCACGCGGAUUGGCCUCGUGGAGGAGAUUUGGCCCAUUUGAGCACCGCAACGCAACCUAGGACGCUCAAAUUGUAGGCCCGGUCGGCCAUCUUGCGAAUAUUGUUGUCCAAUUGUCGUUUGGAGGCAACAAAACCAUCGAAACACGUGCUCGCCAUCGUCCAAAAGUGUGAACACGCGGUGAUUUCGAGUGCUUGACGACCACUGACUGCGAGCGACCAGCCGAUACGCUCAUUUUCCGGCUUUGCAACCCCCUUCCGGUCGCUCAGUGGAAAUUAGGAAACUUUUCACGUGAAAUUCUACUCCUCAAACGUCUGAGGACUGCGGGUGGACUACCCGUCGGGAGUAACCGGUGCUGUCGCAGCGGAGACCAGGAGCUGGGUCGCGCGCGGAAACGUCGCACGCUCGAGGAAGCGUACUGCCAUCUGGUAGUAAAAAUCGGAAACCGGUUUGCGCAGCGCGUGCACACGCGCGUGCCUACCUGUGCCAUACCUGGCGCGGGGCAUCGCGAUCGAGAUUGCCGUUGGAGAUUGCCGUCGGAGUGUUCCGGUCCCUUCGCCCAAGGAUUAAGGUCAGAUCUGAAAAGUUAUUUUUUUUACCCUGAGCUCAAACAAACUUGUUAGUUGGUAAGAUUAGGCGUGACGUCACAACCCAUAUUGUUAAGCUAAAACGCAAUAUAAGCCUAAAUGCUGGUCCGUCAAACCAUCCAGCGUGUUUGGUAACUGAAUUGGGUGGCCGAUUUGCGUGGACAACGUGGGUUAAGCGGGUCAAAUACAUGAAUUAUCGCACACAAAUUUGAGUUUAGUUUCUGAUUAUUUCUGGUAUUAUUACGUUAACAUCUAGUGCAAAUUAAUUGGUCCCUCGGGAGGUAUCUGUGUUCUGGUGUUUGAGCCUCUAUUAACCCGCCCUUAGAGUCUUUGCCGGGUCUCUAAAAACAGCUUCAGCAGUCUCUCGAUCCCCGGGAGUGGCGCGACACCUUCGGUGUCAAAACUGUUGAUAGUCGAGGAACAAAACAAUCCG
rnacentral:lncRNA from 1 species